rnacentral:rRNA from 1 species
GAUGAACGCUGGCGGCGUGCCUAAUACAUGCAAGUCGAGCGAACAGACGAGAGUGCUUGCACUCUCUGACGUUAGCGGCGGACGGGUGAGUAACACGUGGGUAACCUACCUAUAAGACUGGGAUAACUUCGGGAAACCGGAGCUAAUACCGGAUAAUAUUUAGCUUCGCAUGAAGCAAUAGUGAAAGACGGUUCUGCUGUCACUUAUAGAUGGACCCGCGGUGUAUUAGCUAGUUGGUGAGGUAACGGCUCACCAAGGCAACGAUCCAUAGCCGACCUGAGAGGGUGAUCGGCCACACUGGGACUGAGACACGGCCCAGACUCCUACGGGAGGCAGCAGUAGGGAAUCUUCCGCAAUGGACGAAAGUCUGACGGAGCAAUGCCGCGUGAGUGAAGAAGGUUUUCGGAUCGUAAAACUCUGUUGUAAGGGAGGAACAAGUACGUUAGUAACUGAACGUACCUUGACGGUACCUUACCAGAAAGCCACGGCUAACUACGUG